AUUGGUGUAAUAUAAGAAAUUAAAAAGAAAGAAAGAAAGAAAGAAAGAUCAGAUGUGAAACAAUAGACGUUACUACGAUGUAAUUAUGGGGACAAAAUCCGCAAAUAUAAUGUAGUUCUAAUGUGAUCCUUCCACUAUAAAUUAGACGCUUAUAUUUUAAUUUUACUUUAUUGUUGUGUUUGGCAAAGGGAAUUGUAGAGCAGAAGUUGUGAGUUCCACACUUUGUUUGGCUUAAGAAACUGGUAGACAAUGUGAUAAGAAGACGUACCAGCAAAUUUCAGGCAUUCCUCCUUUGACUUUCCUUCAACGAGUGCCACAGCAAAAGAUGCGGUGAAAGUAUCGCCAGCUCCAGUAGUAUCAAGUACUUCCGCAGCUGAUAUGAUGGAUUGUCUGAUUGGUUUUUCCCCUUGGGUAAAAAAAGCAGAUCCUUUGUCCCCGAGUUUUACAAGAACUUGCUUGACACCCUGAAAUUGAGCAUUUAGAAAAGUCAUGAGAGAUGGAAAAAACACUCUGGGAUCCGAUCAUGAUCUUUGAUGAACAACAGCCAAGCCAGCAAAUCCUUGAUUUUACAAGUUAUCAGCAAUUUGUUAAGACUAAAGUAACAAAUUUAAAUUUUUAAGAAAUAUGAAAUCAAGGAAAACUUUCUUCAGUGUAUGGGUGACUGACCAUUUUAUAGCAUUUUUCUACAGCUUGUCCAAUUUGUUCGAAGCUUUCAGUUGGGCAUCCUGUUAGGCGACUUAGCUCACUUUCAUUUGGACUAAAAAUAUCAACAUGGUCAAGCAGUUCUUGUGGGAUAGGAGCGUCAACUCCACCAGCAUCCAAUAUAACUGGAACCCCAGCACUCCUGGCAGCCUGCAGCCAUUAUGGCUAGUGAGAUAAUUCUUUUUUUAUUUUGGAAGAAAACAAAACAAUUCAUUGAUGAAUGGAACAAUUCAGAAGGUCGAGCCAUUAUGGCUAGUCAGAUAAUAUGAAACAAUAUCUCAAACAAAAGAUUAAGAAUUUGGAAUAGCUCCAACUGUAAAAAAAAGGGAAAAAAUUAUCUAAUGGAGGGAUCAGGAGCAAGGAGUUCAGAAUGAUGCACAGGGGGACCAAUUUUUUUUCAUGAAUCAACCAUCCCAAUUUCGUCAAAAA